rnacentral:rRNA from 1 species
UAAUACUCGCGGUCCAAGUCGCAGCCAUUUUUAUUGGGUCUAAAACAUCCGUAGCUUGUUUAGUAAGUUCCUUGUGAAAUUCCAUAUCUCAAAUAUGGAGCGCGCAGGGAGUACUGCUAAGCUAGAGACUGGAAGACGGAACGAGUACGUUUAAAGUAGCGGUAAAAUGUGUUAAUCUUAAACGGACUAACAAUAGCGAAGGCACGUUCCGAGGACAGUUCUGACAGUAAGGGAUGAAGGCUAGGGGCGCAAAACGGAUUAGAUACCCGUGUAGUCCUAGCAGUAAACACUGCACACUAAACAUCAGUACCUCCUCGAGAGGUAUUGGUGCUGAAGGGAAGCCGAAGAGUGUGCUACCUGGGAAGUAUAGUCGCAAGGCCG